rnacentral:lncRNA from 1 species
UGAAGUAAAUAAACUCUACAUAAAUUGUGUGAGCUGUUAGUGAGGCUUAUGUUCUUAGGUUUAAGGUCUUAUCUUGAGUGAUUUUGGAAGCUCUCAAGUGGUGUCCAACACACUCAUCUUGGAGCACAUCACACUCCAAGUGGCGUGACAUUUCUCACCCACCAUCUUAAGUUUUCUCAUUCCAUUUUCCUUUCAUUUCUCCAUUUCAUUUAAUGUAUUUGUCUCUUAUUCUAUUCUUUGCUGCUCUUGGGUUUCGCUCAUAAUCAAGGUAUGGUGCAUCAUUUGGGAGGCCAUGACCACCACUGANNN